rnacentral:tRNA from 1 species
AAGGUAGCCGUACGAGAACGUGCGGCUGGAUCACCUCCUUUAUAAGGAGUAAACAUACGUCUCUUGAACUUGUUCAGGACGGGAUGUUAAUGGUCGGUCUUUAGAUUAUAUCAUUCGGGGUUGCUGAUUUUGAGGGGCGUUUGUCUGUGUGUUAUUUAGCGUGUUUUGCGCUGUCGGCGGGUUGUUUUCGCCAAUCUAUAUCUUUUUAGGGCGGUGAGAGUUGUAAACGGGCCUAUAGCUCAGUUAGUUAGAGCGCACCCCUGAUAAGGGUGAGGUCUGUGGUGCAACUCCACAUAGGCC